GAUGAACGCUAGCGGCAGGCUUAACACAUGCAAGUCGAGGGGCAGCACUGGUAGCAAUACCUGGUGGCGACCGGCAAACGGGUGCGGAACACGUACGCAACUUACCCUAAACAGGUGAAUAGCCCUCGGAAACGAGGAUUAAUACACCGUACACUAUAUUGGUGGCAUCAUUGGUAUAUAAUAGCUGAGGCGGUUUAGGAUGGGCGUGCGUCCCAUUAGCUAGUUGGUAGGGUAAUGGCUUACCAAGGCGACGAUGGGUAACUGGUGUGAGAGCACGACCAGUCACACGGGCACUGAGACACGGGCCCGACUCCUACGGGAGGCAGCAGUGAGGAAUAUUGGUCAAUGGACGCAAGUCUGAACCAGCCAUGCCGCGUGAAGGAUGAAGGCGUUCUGCGUUGUAAACUUCUUUUAUCAGGGAAGAAACCUCAGUAUUCUUAUUGAGCCGACGGUACCUGAUGAAUAAGCACCGGCUAACUCCGUGCCAGCCGCCGCCGUAACAC
rnacentral:rRNA from 1 species